GUGUACCACUCGUGCAUUCCGGCGCCUGUGCGCUGUCCGCACCCGGCUGACGACCGCUCGCUACGUUUUGUUAGCC
rnacentral:sRNA from 1 species